rnacentral:rRNA from 1 species
GAUGAACGCUGGCGGCGUGCCUAAUACAUGCAAGUCGAGCGAACAGACGAGGAGCUUGCUCCUUCGACGUUAGCGGCGGACGGGUGAGUAACACGUAGGUAACCUACCUAUAAGACUGGGAUAACUUCGGGAAACCGGAGCUAAUACCGGAUAAUAUUUCGAACCGCAUGGUUCGAUAGUGAAAGAUGGCUUUGCUAUCACUUAUAGAUGGACCUGCGCCGUAUUAGCUAGUUGGUAAGGUAACGGCUUACCAAGGCAACGAUACGUAGCCGACCUGAGAGGGUGAUCGGCCACACUGGAACUGAGACACGGUCCAGACUCCUACGGGAGGCAGCAGUAGGGAAUCUUCCGCAAUGGGCGAAAGCCUGACGGAGCAACGCCGCGUAAGUGAUGAAGGUCUUCGGAUCGUAAAACUCUGUUAUUAGGGAAGAACAAACGUGUAAGUAACUGUGCACGUCUUGACGGUACCUAAUCAGAAAGCCACGGCUAACUACGUG